rnacentral:rRNA from 1 species
GAUGAACGCUGGCGGCGUGCCUAAUACAUGCAAGUCGAGCGAACAGACGCGGCGCUUGCUCCUCUGACGUUAGCGGCGGACGGGUGAGUAACACGUGGAUAACCUACCUAUAAGACUGGGAUAACUUCGGGAAACCGGAGCUAAUACCGGAUAAUAUAUUGAACCGCAUGGUUCAAUAGUGAAAGACGGUUUUGCUGUCACUUCUCGAUGGUUCCGCGCCGCAUUAGCUAGUUGGUAAGGUAAAGGCAUACCAAGUCAACUAUGCGUCGCCGACCUCAGGGGGUGAUCGACCACACUGGAACGUAGACACGGUCCAGACUCCUACGGGAGGCAGCAGUAUGGAAUCUUCCGCAAUCGUCGAAAGCCUGACGGAGCAACGCCGCGUGAGUGAUGAAGGUCUUCGGAGCGUAAAACUCUGUUAUUAGGGAAGAACAAAUGUGUAAGUAACUAUGCACGUCUUGACGGUACCUAAUCAGAAAGCCACGGCUAACUACGUG